UACGUAGGGCGCAAGCGUUAUCCGGAAUUAUUGGGCGUAAAGGGCUCGUAGGCGGUUUGUCGCGUCGGGAGUGAAAUCCUACGGCUUAACUGUGGGCUUGCUUUCGAUACGGGCAGACUAGAGGUAUGCAGGGGAGAACGGAAUUCCUGGUGUAGCGGUGAAAUGCGCAGAUAUCAGGAGGAACACCGGUGGCGAAGGCGGUUCUCUGGGCAUGAUCUGACGCUGAGGAGCGAAAGUGUGGGGAGCGAACAGG
rnacentral:rRNA from 1 species